GAGUCUUUAGUUGAGUACAAUAUAAAAUUGCAAGUUUUAAGGGUUGUGACUUU
rnacentral:tRNA from 1 species